UGGGAACAGACAGUACGUAAACACGUAAAAAGAGAACAAAUGUUGGCAAACUGUCAAAAAAUCAAAGAUAAAUACACAAACAGUGUACGGUGAUCUGAAUGAUUGAUUUGUGAAUCUUUGGCCGGAAUGAGACGUGAAGGUGUACGAUCAACGAUUUUACGUAAAUAAUUGAUCUACCACUACGAUAAUCAGGUACUUUGUCGGGCACUGAAGAAAUUAUAUUUGAUCGGAAACUAUUACCAAGUUGCAAAAGGAUCUACGUCUACGUCGUAAUAAUAGCUUUCGUCAUACUUGUUUUAAGAAAUGGCAAAACCAAAGGUCGAGUACGAAAACUUUUUUAUUAGUAGCUGUUCCAUAUAAUACAUUCAGGUAA